rnacentral:rRNA from 1 species
UACUGCCCCGGUUAACGGGGAGGAAGGUGGGAUGACGUCAAGUCAGUAUGUCCCUUACGUCCAGGGCUACACACGUGUUACAAUGGCCGGUACAAUGAGUUGCGACCCUGCAAAGGUAAGCCAAUCUCAAAAAACCGGUCUCAGUUCGGAUUGCAGUCUGCAACUCGACUGCAUGAAGUUGGAAUCGCUAGUAAUCGUAGAUCAGCACGCUACGGUGAAUACGUUCCCGGGCCCGUU